CUGCACGUAGCCUCCCGGGCUCGUCUGAGCAAUUUUUACAUGAAGUUAGCAGCCCCAAAGCUCGUGCUAUAUCUACCGCCGCUAGUGUUGCAGUUUAGCCCUUUUGUACCUUCUUUACCCUUGGCUUUAUCUGUGUCAAAAUCAACGGCUACAUUA
rfam:Nicotiana sylvestris Nsyl_contig20110, whole genome shotgun sequence.